GUUGGUGAUGGUGCCGGUGAUGUUUCCUCAGAAUCUGCAACUGUAGGCGGCGCCGGAGGGCUCUUAACAGUUGGUGCUGGUGCUGGUGCUGGUGCAUGAUGUCUCGUGUGCUUGUGCUUGUGCUUCUUCUUGUGCUUGCCUGGAGCUGGUGCAGGUGAGGGUACUAAUGUUGGUGGUGGGGUUGGGGACUCGACUACUGGUGUUGGGGCUGGUGCAGGUGGUGCCUUUGUUGGUGACGGUACUGGUGCUACCUUAGCAGGGGCUGGCACAGGUGUUGCCUUUGCUGGGGCAGGUGCUGGUGGCGGCUGGAUUGGUGCUGGGGAUAUCUUUGGUGGAGGUAAAGCAGGUGGCAGUACCGGUGGUGGUGGUGGCAAUGCUGGUUCUUGGGAUGGAGUUGAGACAGGUGGUGAGAUUUGAGGGGGUGAAACAGUUGGGCUUGAAGACGGAGUUAUUUUAGGUGAUGGUGAUGAUACAGGUGUGGUUGCAGGAGGAGUUGAUACUACUACUGGGGGUGGUGGUGUCGCUGCAGUUGGUAUGGUAGAUGGAGGUGGUACUGUAUUUGGCGUGGUAGAAGGUGAAGCAGAAGGCGCUUGUGCAUCAGCAAUGGCUAGCAGAAGGGCAAGGCAGGUAAAUAUUCGAACCCAUAAAGGUGAAGCCAUUUGUUGAUGGGGAAAUUGCUUGGAAGAGUUGUGUUUAUAAAAAAAAUAGAAGAAAGAGGGGGGUGGUUGUAGAAGCUAGAGGAGUUUGGUGAAAUGUUGAGGGAGAAACGUAGUUUUCAGUGAUUGGUACAU
rnacentral:lncRNA from 1 species